UGGGGAAUUUUGGACAAUGGGGGCAACCCUGAUCCAGCCAUGCCGCGUGUGUGAAGAAGGCCUUCGGGUUGUAAAGCACUUUUGGCGGGAACGAAACGGUCUGUGCUAAUACCACGGACUAAUGACGGUACCCGCAGAAUAAGCACCGGCUAACUACGUGCCAGCAGCCGCGGUAAUACGUAGGGUGCAUGCGUUAAUCGGAAUUACUGGGCGUAAAGCGUGCGCAGGCGGUUUCGCAAGUCAGAUGUGAAAUCCCCGGGCUCAACCUGGGAACUGCAUUUGAAACUACGAGGCUUGAGUGUGGCAGAGGGGGGUGGAAUUCCACGUGUAGCAGUGAAAUGCGUAGAGAUGUGGAGGAACACCGAUGGCGAAGGCAGCCCCCUGGGCUAACACUGACGCUCAUGCACGAAAGCGUGGGGAGCAAACA
rnacentral:rRNA from 1 species